rnacentral:rRNA from 1 species
UACAGAGGGGGCAAGCGUUGUUCGGAAUUACUGGGCGUAAAGGGCGCGUAGGCGGCCUUCUAAGUCGAACGUGAAAUCCCCGGGCUCAACCCGGGAACUGCGUCCGAUACUGGAAGGCUUGAAUCCGGGAGAGGGAUGCGGAAUUCCAGGUGUAGCGGUGAAAUGCGUAGAUAUCUGGAGGAACACCGGUGGCGAAGGCGGCAUCCUGGACCAAUUCUGACGCUGAGUGAGCGAAAGCCAGGGGAGCAAACGGG